AUUCAAAACAUCUGGGGCUGCACGGUGGCUCAUGCCUGUAAUCCCAGCAGUUUGGGAGGUCAACAUGGGUGAAUCACUUGAGGUCAGAAGUUUGGGACCAGCCCAGCCAAUGUGGAAAGGAUUUCUUAAUCAAGACUCCAAAACAUAAACUCUAAAGAGAAAAACCAAUGACUUAGCUCGGGCAUCAAAAUUAAACAUUGAUUCUCAAAGGUGACCAAGUUAACAGGCAGGGGACACACAGCCACUCCAAGAGGCCCUGAUCAGGAAGUGAAGACAACAUGACUGUGGAGAAGAGAGCCGGGAAGGGAAGAAGCUCAAUAAUGAGUGCAUUCUAGGCCAGCUUCCCCAGUGAAGAUCCUCACAAACGAUUACAUGUAAACGUGAGAGGCACCCAGUUUGGAUUCCAGACCAGAAGAAAUCCAGGAAUGGAUUUAAAAAGGAAAGCUGGUUCCCAUCUCCCUGGAGAAUUUAUCUUUAUUAAAGAUGCAAAGGAUCCAGUGGAGGUCUCUGAGGCCCUGGGAGAUGGUAGAGCCACACCAUGAAGGUGCCUGGGUCCCUGAAUGACUGCAUGGAGCUCACUCUACAUUGGACUGUGACACAAGCAAGAAAGGUAGACACUUAGGAGUGGAAUUGCUGAGUCAUACAGUAAUUCUAUGUUUAACAUUUUGAGGAGCUGCCAAACUGUUUCCAAAAUGGCUGCAACAUUCUAUAUUUCCAUCAGCAAGAAGGGCCCAUGUGGCAAGGAACUAAGGGCAGUCUCUGGCCAAAAGCCCACAAGUAACUGAAUUCUGCCAAUAACCAUGAGUUUGGAAGUGGAUCCUUCCCCAUUCGAGUCUCAGAUGAGUCCCCAGCCCUGGCCAACAUCUUCAUGUGCUGUGAGAGACCAUUAAGCAGAGGACCCAGCUAAGCUCUGCCCAGAUGCUCAAUCCACAGAAAAAGAUACUAAGUGUGUGUUGUUUUAAGCUGCUACAUUUGCAGUGGUUUGAUAUGCAGCAAUAGAUAACUGAUACUGCUGUUAAUUGCUUUCUAUUACAAUCAGCUGGAAUAACUGCCCUUGUGCCUACAAUCAGAGAUGUAUUUUGGGAUCAAUUCCCAGACCUGAGAUUGUUCAGUCUAAGGGUAAGGAUAUUUAAUGUGGAAAAAUAACACUAAAUUGUCCUCCAAAAAUAUUAUCAAGUGACAAUCAUGCAAACAGUAUGAAAGUUCCUACUUCUCUCCAUGUUCUUGCCAAAUGAAGUGUCAUUGAUCAUUGAAAAAAUAUCAGUUUGAGAAAAAUCAGUACUGCAUUGCUUUGAUUGCAUUUUCCUGAUCACUUAUCAGGGUGAGCAUCUUUUUAACGAAUCCCUUGGCCAUUUAUUUUCCUCUUUCUUUUGAGACUUCUCUCUUGAUAUUUUUAGCUUUUAUCCUAUUUUAAUUGGAUUUCAAUUGGAUUGAACAACUAGAAUGAUAGAAUGAUAUCUGGGGGGCACACAAUGGCCAUUGGUGAUGCUGCUGUUGAUUACCCAAAGUGCUAUCCCAUUUCUUCCUGUGUAUUUACUACUAUUUCUCUUGCAGUUAAUAAGCAAUUUAUGGGAAGAUUCUUUGAGACCAUUCAAAUAUCCUGCACCUCAUUAAAAUAUCCCCCUGGAUUUAGCAGCCUUUGAUGAUUCUUGCCUGAACAAAACUUUAUUAUGGUAGAUGUAAAAUGAAGAUUUUCAUUUCUAGCACUUCUUCCACAUUUACCAGCUACAUUCAGCCUUCUUGUGGAUAAGACUCUCCCCUUUCUCCCAAAUGUUUAUUGUUUUUAUUAGUAUGGACUCACGAUUUCCUGUUCUUCUCAAUGGCCUAUAAUUUAUUACUAUCUUUAAUUAUAUUAGUGCUCAAAUUUUCCCAGUUUGGCCAGUGGGAUCCCCUCCAAGUUGGCUAUUAUUUCCUUGUGACAUACCCACUUUUUCUUUCUUUCUCUUUCUUUUUCUUUCCUUUUAAAACUCACUUCUUUACUUCCUGCUCCAGCCCUGGAAUCAGCCAUUUCUCUGAAAAACUGUGGUUCUUUCAAGUGGACAAAGGUAUUAGAGACCAAAAUUUGGGCACAAGAUAUGCACUUUAACAAGGACCCACUUUAAGUGCAGUUUAGUGAAUUUGAAUGAAUGCAUGAACUUCUGUAACUACUACCACAAUCAAGAUAUAGAGUUUCUGUCACCUCUCAAAGCCUCCUUUUCUUGCUUGCUCAUAUGCAAUUACCUCUGUCCAAAAUGACCCUUUCCCUUUCCUCUACACACUUGGCAAAGCCAUGAUUGAACAUUUAUUCCUUCUUAGAUUUUGUUCCAUUUUCCUCAGCAAAGGUUCUUUGUUUCCUCUUCUUCAUGCUCACAAAAGAGAGAGUAAAAGUGCUUGCUCAACAGUUCUUCAACUGCUCUAAUAAAGAUUGAUUCUCUUACCA
rnacentral:lncRNA from 1 species